CAAAAUAUUAUCACCAAGCCCUGAGUUAAGGAGCUUACCACCUAUGCUUCCAUCUAAGCAUUUCAUGGCCAGGACCUCAGUUACAGCUGGAGUCAGAUAAAGUGCUUUUAUCAGGUCUUUUGGUGUCCAGAGAGAGGAAAGAAUGUACCUGAGCACCUCAUCGCAUCACCAGAGACAUUCAAACUGCAGAUAA